rnacentral:rRNA from 1 species
GAUGAACGCUGGCGGCGUGCUUAACGCAUGCAAGUCGAACGGGAUCCAAGGGGUGCUUGCACUUUUUGGUGAGAGUGGCGAACGGGUGAGUAACACGUGAGUAACCUGUCCUUUUCUUUGGGAUAAGCAUUCGAAAGGGUGUUUAAUACCUUAUGUUCUGUCUGCCUCGCAUGGGGUGGGUGGGAAAGGCUUUGGCCGGAUUUGGGUGGGCUCGCGGUCUAUCAGCUUGUUGGUGGGGUGAUGGCUUACCAAGGCUUUGACGGGUAGCCGGCCGGAGAGGGUGGUCGGUCACAUUGGGACUGAGAUACGGCCCAGACUCCUGCGGGAGGCAGCAGUGGGGGAUAUUGCACAAUGGGCGAAAGCCUGAUGCAGCGACGCCGCGUGGGGGAUGAAGGCCUUCGGGUUGUAAACUUCUUUUGCUCUGAACAAGGCAUGCCAGUGGGUGUGUUGAGUGUAGGGGUGGAUUAGCGCCGGCUAACUACGUG